rnacentral:rRNA from 1 species
UACAGAGGUCCCAAGCGUUGUUCGGAUUCAUUGGGCGUAAAGGGUGCGCAGGCGGGCGAUUAAGUCAGGGGUGAAAGACGGUUGCUCAACAAUCGCAGUGCCUUUGAUACUGGUUGUCUUGGGUGACCUUGAGGUAGGCGGAAUGGGUGGUGUAGCGGUGAAAUGCAUAGAUACCACCCAGAACUCCGAUUGCGAAGGCAGCCUACUGGAGGUUCACCGACGCUCAGGCACGAAAGCGUGGGGAUCAAACAGG